rnacentral:pre_miRNA from 1 species
UCUUAUGGAUGAGCAAAGAAAGUAGUGUCUUGAGAUGGAAUUUAUUUUUGGUGAAGAUCCUGUGAA